rnacentral:rRNA from 1 species
GUAGGGAAUAUUGGGCAAUGGAUGAAAGUCUGACCCAGCCAUGCCGCGUGCCGGAUGAAGGCGCUCAGCGUUGUAAACGGCUUUUAUUCGGGAAGAAGAGCAGGGAUGCGUCCCUGUGUGACGGUACCGAAUGAAUAAGCACCGGCUAACUCCGUGCCAGCCGCCGCGGUAAUACGGAGGGUGCGAGCGUUGUCCGGAUUUAUUGGGUUUAAAGGGUGCGUAGGUGGCCAAAUAAGUCAGUGGUGAAAUACGGUUGCUCAACAAUCGAGGUGCCCGUGUUACUGCUUGGCUUGACAUAAUUGGGGGCUGCCGGAAUGGAUGGUGUAGCGGUGCAAUGCAUAGAUAUCAUCCAGAACACCGAUUGCGAAGGCUGGUGGCUACGAUUUAUUUGACACUGGGGCACGAAAGCAUGGGGAGCAAACAGGAUUAGAAACCCUGGUAGUCC